AAUUCUCAAGGAGUUUGUUCUCUUUGGAUUUUGGAGUGUUUGCUGGCUUGAAUCUUGUUCAGCUCCUCUCAAAUGCAUUAGCUUGUGCUUCUGUGGAAUCAGGCUUUGGUUUGAUAGUAUCUAUGUCAUUGCCCUUGAAACAAAUGAGCUAGCUUCUAAUCAUUUUAUUUUUGACA
rnacentral:misc_RNA from 1 species